rnacentral:rRNA from 1 species
GGGUUGUGAGGUUAAGCGACUAAGCGUACACGGUGGAUGCCCUGGCAGUCAGAGGCGAUGAAGGACGUGCUAAUCUGCGAAAAGCGUCGGUAAGGUGAUAUGAACCGUUAUAGCCGGCGAUGUCCGAAUGGGGAAACCCAGUGCAAUUCGUUGCACUAUCGUUAACUGAAUACAUAGGUUAACGAGGCGAACCGGGGGAACUGAAACAUCUAAGUACCCCGAGGAAAAGAAAUCAACCGAGAUUCCCCCAGUAGCGGCGAGCGAACGGGGAGCAGCCCAGAGUCUGAAUCAGCUUGUGUGUUAGUGGAACGGUCUGGAAAGUCCGACGGUACAGGGUGAUAGUCCCGUACACCAAAAUGCACAGGCUGUGAACUCGAAGAGUAGGGCGGGACACGUGGUAUCCUGUCUGAAUAUGGGGGGACCAUCCUCCAAGGCUAAAUACUCCUGACUGACCGAUAGUGAACCAGUACCGUGAGGGAAAGGCGAAAAGAACCCCGGCGAGGGGAGUGAAAAAGAACCUGAAACCGUGUACGUACAAGCAGUGGGAGCACCUUCGGGUGUGACUGCGUACCUUUUGUAUAAUGGGUCAGCGACUUAUAUUCUGUAGCAAGGUUAACCGUAUAGGGGAGCCGCAGGGAAACCGAGUCUUAACUGGGCGUUAAGUUGCAGGGUAUAGACCCGAAACCCGGUGAUCUAGCCAUGGGCAGGUUGAAGGUUGGGUAACACUAACUGGAGGACCGAACCGACUAAUGUUGAAAAAUUAGCGGAUGACUUGUGGCUGGGGGUGAAAGGCCAAUCAAACCGGGAGAUAGCUGGUUCUCCCCGAAAGCUAUUUAGGUAGCGCCUCGUGAAUUCAUCUUCGGGGGUAGAGCACUGUUUCGGCUAGGGGGUCAUCCCGACUUACCAACCCGAUGCAAACUACGAAUACCGAAGAAUGUUAUCACGGGAGACACACGGCGGGUGCUAACGUCCGUCGUGAAGAGGGAAACAACCCAGACCGCCAGCUAAGGUCCCAAAGUCAUGGUUAAGUGGGAAACGAUGUGGGAAGGCACAGACAGCCAGGAUGUUGGCUUAGAAGCAGCCAUCAUUUAAAGAAAGCGUAAUAGCUCACUGGUCGAGUCGGCCUGCGCGGAAGAUGUAACGGGGCUAAACCAUGCACCGAAGCUGCGGCAGCGACACUAUGUGUUGUUGGGUAGGGGAGCGUUCUGUAAGCCUGCGAAGGUGUGCUGUGAGGCAUGCUGGAGGUAUCAGAAGUGCGAAUGCUGACAUAAGUAACGAUAAAGCGGGUGAAAAGCCCGCUCGCCGGAAGACCAAGGGUUCCUGUCCAACGUUAAUCGGGGCAGGGUGAGUCGACCCCUAAGGCGAGGCCGAAAGGCGUAGUCGAUGGGAAACAGGUUAAUAUUCCUGUACUUGGUGUUACUGCGAAGGGGGGACGGAGAAGGCUAUGUUAGCCGGGCGACGGUUGUCCCGGUUUAAGCAUGUAGGCUGAUUAUCCAGGCAAAUCCGGAUAAUCAAGGCUGAGGUGUGAUGACGAGGCACUACGGUGCUGAAGUAACAAAUGCCCUGCUUCCAGGAAAAGCCUCUAAGCAUCAGGUAACAUUAAAUCGUACCCCAAACCGACACAGGUGGUCAGGUAGAGAAUACCAAGGCGCUUGAGAGAACUCGGGUGAAGGAACUAGGCAAAAUGGUGCCGUAACUUCGGGAGAAGGCACGCUGGUGUGUAGGUGAAGCCCCUGCGGGUGGAGCUGAGACCAGUCGAAGAUACCAGCUGGCUGCAACUGUUUAUUAAAAACACAGCACUGUGCAAACACGAAAGUGGACGUAUACGGUGUGACGCCUGCCCGGUGCCGGAAGGUUAAUUGAUGGGGUUAUCCGUAAGGAGAAGCUCUUGAUCGAAGCCCCGGUAAACGGCGGCCGUAACUAUAACGGUCCUAAGGUAGCGAAAUUCCUUGUCGGGUAAGUUCCGACCUGCACGAAUGGCGUAAUGAUGGCCAGGCUGUCUCCACCCGAGACUCAGUGAAAUUGAACUCGCUGUGAAGAUGCAGUGUACCCGCGGCAAGACGGAAAGACCCCGUGAACCUUUACUAUAGCUUGACACUGAACAUUGAGCCUUGAUGUGUAGGAUAGGUGGGAGGCUUUGAAGCGUGGACGCCAGUCUGCGUGGAGCCAACCUUGAAAUACCACCCUUUAAUGUUUGAUGUUCUAACGUUGGCCCCUGACCGGGGUUGCGGACAGUGUCUGGUGGGUAGUUUGACUGGGGCGGUCUCCUCCCAAAGCGUAACGGAGGAGCACGAAGGUUAGCUAAUCCUGGUCGGACAUCAGGAGGUUAGUGCAAUGGCAUAAGCUAGCUUGACUGCGAGCGUGACGGCGCGAGCAGGUGCGAAAGCAGGUCAUAGUGAUCCGGUGGUUCUGAAUGGAAGGGCCAUCGCUCAACGGAUAAAAGGUACUCCGGGGAUAACAGGCUGAUACCGCCCAAGAGUUCAUAUCGACGGCGGUGUUUGGCACCUCGAUGUCGGCUCAUCACAUCCUGGGGCUGAAGUAGGUCCCAAGGGUAUGGCUGUUCGCCAUUUAAAGUGGUACGCGAGCUGGGUUUAGAACGUCGUGAGACAGUUCGGUCCCUAUCUGCCGUGGGCGCUGGAGAAUUGAGGGGGGCUGCUCCUAGUACGAGAGGACCGGAGUGGACGCAUCACUGGUGUUCGGGUUGUCAUGCCAAUGGCACUGCCCGGUAGCUAAAUGCGGAAGAGAUAAGUGCUGAAAGCAUCUAAGCACGAAACUUGCCCCGAGAUGAGUUCUCCCUGAGACUUUAAGUCUCCUGAAGGAACGUUGAAGACGACGACGUUGAUAGGCCGGGUGUGUAAGCGCAGCGAUGCGUUGAGCUAACCGGUACUAAUGAACCGUGAGGCUUAACCUUACAACGCCGAAG